AGUGAUGGUAGAGGCGCAAAAACCAUUAGUAAGUUCUCUCUAGAGUGAUAAGACUCGUCGACAGGAGCUGAAAGGGGAAUUUGCCGAAGUGGAAAGACGCUUAUCUGUCUGAAGCUGGAUCUGUGUUGAAUAAAUGCAGAGCUGUCAUCCAAUACCUACCCUGGAAUUGGAUGGAGAACUAUCUCACAA
rnacentral:ncRNA from 2 species